rnacentral:tRNA from 1 species
UGGUCAAGCGGUCAAGACACCACCCUUUCACGGUGGUAACAGGGGUUCGAUUCCCCU